rnacentral:lncRNA from 1 species
CAAUUUUUCCCAACAUCUGAACGAGCUUGGUGGUGAUGUUAGACUUGUAAAAUGGAGCAAUUCCCCACAUGUAGGUUAGUCCUUACCUGAUUUUCUGCUUUUAAUACAACAUGAAGAUAUUCGAUGGGAAAAUGGUUAAAGGGUCUUUUAGCUAACAAAAUAUCAUUAUUUUGCAUACCUGAUUUUCUGCUUUUAAUACAACAUGAAGAUAUUUGAUGGGAAAUGGUUAAAGGGUCUUAUAGCCCACAAAAUAUCAUUAAAGGGUCUUUUAGUCCUUUGCUUUUAAUGCAACAUUAAGAUAUUCAAUGGGAAAUGGUUAAAGGGUCUUUAGCUAACAAUAUAUCAUUAUUUUGCAUCAUUGUUAGCAUUUGAUACCUCUGAUGAUAACUAGGUCCGAAUCAUGUGAAACAAAUUAUAUAGUGACUAGCUGUAUCAGUAAAUCUGGCUUUCUAUGUACUGUCACUUUCGAGGAGUGACAUGGCUGCAGUCAUAAAUAGACUUUGAUGGUGAAUUCAAUUAAAGGUUCUAAAAUGUCAUGUUCAUUUGUGAAGAUGAAAUUCCAAACUGAAACUUACUUGUCGUAUGAUAUGUACUUAAAAAUCUUUACAGGUUUUGAAUCUUUCUUUUGAGCCCACCUUGGUGUUGCA